GAUGAACGCUGGCGGCGUGCCUAAUACAUGCAAGUCGAGCGAACGGACGAGAAGCUUGCUUCUCUGAUGUUAGCGGCGGACGUGUGAGUAACACGUGGAUAACCUACCUAUAAGACUGGGAUAACUUCGUGAAACCGGAGCUAAUACCGUAUAAUAUUUUGAACCGCAUGGUUCAAAAGUGAAGGACGGUCUUGCUGUCACUUAUAGAUGGAUCCGCGCUGCAUUAGCUAGUUGGUAAGGUAACGGCUUACCAAGGCAACGAUGCAUAGCCGACCUGAGAGGGUGAUCGGCCACACUGGAACUGAGACACGGUCCAGACUCCUACGGGAGGCCGCAGUAGGGAAGCUUACGCAAUGGGCGAAAGCCUGACGGAGCAACGCCGCGUGAGUGAUGAAGGUCUUCGGAUCGUAAGACUCUGUUAUUAGGGAAGAACAUAUGUGUAAGUAACUGUGCACAUCUUGACGGUACCUAAUCAGAAAGCCACGGCUAACUACGUG
rnacentral:rRNA from 1 species